rnacentral:pre_miRNA from 1 species
CGCCUUUCACGAAGGUACUCAGGAGCUGCUCGUAGGUGAGGGAUGCACAGAGGCCUUACUCAAACACUUGAGCAGAUCUGUUUGUUGAAAACACAAGCGCUCAAAUGGAGCAAACUUCCAUCUAUGAGCAGCUCAUGAGCACCUUCUGAAGGACG